AUUGAACGCUGGCGGCAUGCCUUACACAUGCAAGUCGAACGGCAGCACGGGUGCUUGCACCUGGUGGCGAGUGGCGAACGGGUGAGUAAUACAUCGGAACGUACCUUAUCGUGGGGGAUAACGCAGCGAAAGCUGUGCUAAUACCGCAUACGCCCUGAGGGGGAAAGCGGGGGAUCGCAAGACCUCGCGCGAUUAGAGCGGCCGAUGCCUGAUUAGCUUGUUGGUGGGGUAAAAGCCCACCAAAGCGACGAUCAGUAGCUGGUCUGAGAGGACGAGCAGCCUCACUGGGACUGAGACACGGCCCAGACUCCUACGGGAGGCAGCAGUGGGGAAUUUUGGACAAUGGGGCAACCCUGAUCCAGCAAUGCCGCGUGAGUGAAGAAGGCCUUCGGGUUGUAAAGCUCUUUUGUCAGGGAAGAAACACCGGCUCUAACACAGUCCGGGAAUGACGGUACCUGAAGAAUAAGCACCGGCUAACUACGUGCCAGCAGCCGCCGUAAAAC
rnacentral:rRNA from 1 species